rnacentral:lncRNA from 1 species
UUCUCCUUCAGAGUCAUGUAGACUUGUGACCCUCAUAGUCCAUGGUGAACUCUUUCUUGAGGUUGCGGGGGCAGAGAGUGCGCUGCUUGUUGGAGCACGACCUCCUCCUCCGAUCCCGGUGAAAUUCAGCAUGAUCUCCAUUGUCGUUGGCAUUUUUAGCAACUUUAAGGAUCUGCUGUCUCCUAGCAGCUCGGUUGGUGUUCUUCUGCUUAGAAAGUCACUUCAUGGUAUAAAG